rnacentral:tRNA from 1 species
GGAGAGAUGGCCGAGCUGGCUGAAGGCGGCACCCUGCUAAGGUGUUGUACUCGAAAGGGUACCGAGGGUUCGAAUCCCUCUCUCUCCGCCA